GGAGGAAAAGAAACCAACAGGGAUUGCCUCAGUAACGGCGAGUGAAGCGGCAAGAGCUCAAAUUUGAAAGCUGGCUCCUUCGGGGUCCGCAUUGUAAUUUGCAGAGGAUGCUUCGGGUGCGGCCCCUAUCUAAGUGCCCUGGAACGGGCCGUCGGAGAGGGUGAGAAUCCCGUCUGGGAUAGGGUGUCCGCGUCCGUGUGAAGCUCCUUCGACGAGUCGAGUUGUUUGGGAAUGCAGCUCUAAAUGGGUGGUAAAUUUCAUCUAAAGCUAAAUACUGGCCGGAGACCGAUAGCGCACAAGUAGAGUGAUCGAAAGAUGAAAAGCACUUUGAAAAGAGAGUUAAAAAGCACGUGAAAUUGUUGAAAGGGAAGCGCUUGCGACCAGACUCGCCUUCAGGGUUCAGCCGGCACUCGUGCCGGUGUACUUCCCUGGAGGCGGGCCAGCGUCGGUUUGGGCGGCCGGUCAAAGGCUCCCGGAAUGUAGUGCCCUCCGGGGCACCUUAUAGCCGGGAGUGCAAUGCGGCCAGCCUGGACCGAGGAACGCGCUUCGGCACGGACGCUGGCAUAAUGGUCGCAAACGACCCGUC
rnacentral:rRNA from 1 species